UGGGGAAUAUUGGGGCAAAUGGGGGGAAACCCUGACCCAGCAACGCCGCGUGAAGGAAGAAGGCUUUCGGGUUGUAAACUUCUUUUACCUAGGGACGAAGAGAGUGACGGUACCUGGAGAAAAAGACCACGGCUAACUACGUGCCAGCAGCCGCGGUAAUACGUAGGUGGCAAGCGUUAUCCGGAUUUACUGGGUGUAAAGGGCGCGUAGGCGGGGAUGCAAGUCAGAUGUGAAAUCUAUGGGCUUAACCCAUAAACUGCAUUUGAAACUGUAUCUCUUGAGUGUCGGAGAGGUAGACGGAAUUCCUAGUGUAGCGGUGAAAUGCGUAGAUAUUAGGAGGGACACCAGUGGCGAAGGCGGUCUACUGGACGAUAACUGACGCUGAGGCGCGAAA
rnacentral:rRNA from 1 species